GACGAACGCUGCGGCGUGCUUAACACAUGCAAGUCGAACGAUGAAGCCUAGCUUGCUAGGUGGAUUAGUGGCGAACGGGUGAGUAAUACGUGAGUACACCUACCUUUAACUCUGGGAUAAGCCCGGGAACUGGGUCUAAUACCGGAUACGACCAAUCUCCGCAUGGGGUGUUGGUGGAAAGCGUUAUGUAGUGGUUAUAGAUGGGCUCACGGCCUAUCAGCUUGUUGGUGAGGUAACGGCUCACCAAGGCGACGACGGGUAGCCGGCCUGAGAGGGUGACCGGCCACACUGGGACUGAGACACGGCCCAGACUCCUACGGGAGGCAGCAGUGGGGAAUAUUGCACAAUGGGCGCAAGCCUGAUGCAGCGACGCCGCGUGAGGGAUGACGGCCUUCGGGUUGUAAACCUCUGUUAGCAGGGAAGAAGAGAGAUUGACGGUACCUGCAGAGAAAGCGCCGGGUAACUACAA
rnacentral:rRNA from 1 species